rnacentral:rRNA from 1 species
GCACCAGACUCCUACGGGAGGCAGCAGUGGGGAAUAUUGCACAAUGGGGGAAACCCUGAUGCAGCGACGCCGCGUGAGCGAUGAAGUAUUUCGGUCUGUAAAGCUCUAUCAGCAGGGAAGAAAAUGACGGUACCUGACUAAGAAGCCCCGGCUAACUACGUGCCAGCAGCCGCGGUAAUACGUAGGGGGCAAGCGUUAUCCGGAUUUACUGGGUGUAAAGGGAGCGUAGACGGUCCUGCAAGCCAGAUGUGAAAGCCCGGGGCGCAACCCCGGGACUGCAUUUGGAACUGUAAGGCUAGAGUGUCGGAGAGGCAGGCGGAAUUCCUGGUGUAGCGGUGAAAUGCGUAGAUAUCAGGAGGAACACCGGUGGCGAAGGCGGCCUGCUGGACUGCAACUGACGUUGAGGCCCGAAAGCGUGGGGAGCAAACAGGAUUAGAUACCCGAGUACU